rnacentral:rRNA from 1 species
CCUACGGGGGGCAGCAAUGAGGAAUAUUGGUCAAUGGGCGAGAGCCUGAACCAGCCAAGUCGCGUGAGGGAGUACUGCCCUAUGGGUUGUAAACCUCUUUUGUCGGGGAGCAAAAGCCGGACGUGUCCGGCUGUGAGAGUACCCGAAGAAAAAGCAUCGGCUAACUCCGUGCCAGCAGCCGCGGUAAUACGGAGGAUGCGAGCGUUAUCCGGAUUUAUUGGGUUUAAAGGGUGCGCAGGCGGAUUUUUAAGUCAGCGGUAAAAUCGUGGGGCUCAACCCCAUCCAGCCGUUGAAACUGGGGAUCUAGAGUGUGCGAGAGGUAUGCGGAAUGCGUGGUGUAGCGGUGAAAUGCAUAGAUAUCACGCAGAACCCCGAUUGCGAAGGCAGCAUACCGGUGCACAACUGACGCUCAGGCACGAAAGCGUGGGUAUCGAACAGGAUUAGAUACCCUGGUAGUC